ACAGGAGAGCUUGCUCUCUGGGUGGCGAGUGGCGGACGGGUGAGGAAUACAUCGGAAUCUACUUUUUCGUGGGGGAUAACGUANGGAAACUUACGCUAAUACCGCAUACGACCUACGGGUGAAAGCAGGGGAUCUUCGGACCUUGCGCGAUUGAAUGAGCCGAUGUCGGAUUAGCUAGUUGGCGGGGUAAAGGCCCACCAAGGCGACGAUCCGUAGCUGGUCUGAGAGGAUGAUCAGCCACACUGGAACUGAGACACGGUCCAGACUCCUACGGGAGGCAGCAGUGGGGAAUAUUGGACAAUGGGCGCAAGCCUGAUCCAGCCAUACCGCGUGGGUGAAGGAGGCCUUCGGGUUGUAAAGCCCUUUUGUUGGGAAAGAAAUCCAGCUGGCUAAUACCCGGUUGGGAUGACGGUACCCAAAGAAUAAGCACCGGCUAACUUCGUGCCAGCAGCCGCGGUAAUACGAAGGGUGCAAGCGUUACUCGGAAUUACUGGGCGUAAAGCGUGCGUAGGUGGUCGUUUAAGUCCGUUGUGAAAGCCCUGGGCUCAACCUGGGAACUGCAGUGGAUACUGGACGACUAGAGUGUGGUAGAGGGUAGCGGAAUUCCUGGUGUAGCAGUGAAAUGCGUAGAGAUCAGGAGGAACAUCCAUGGCGAAGGCAGCUACCUGGACCAACACUGACACUGAGGCACGAAAGCGUGGGGAGCAAACAGGAUUAGAUANCCUGGUAGUCCACGCCCUAAACGAUGCGAACUGGAUGUUGGGUGCAAUUUGGCACGCAGUA
rnacentral:rRNA from 1 species